UAACAAGGUCUCCGUAGGUGAACCUGCGGAGGGAUCAUUACACAAUACAAUAUGAAGGCUGUCCGCAGCUGGAGUAUUUUAUUACCCUUGUCUUUUGCGCACUUGUUGUUUCCUGGGCGGGUUCGCUCGCCACCAGGACCACCAAAUAAACCUUUUUUAUGCAGUUGCAAUCAGCGUCAGUACAAACAAUGUAAAUCAUUUACAACUUUCAACAACGGAUCUCUUGGUUCUGGCAUCGAUGAAGAACGCAGCGAAAUGCGAUACGUAGUGUGAAUUGCAGAAUUCAGUGAAUCAUCGAAUCUUUGAACGCACAUUGCGCCCUUUGGUAUUCCAAAGGGCAUGCCUGUUCGAGCGUCAUUUGUACCCUCAAGCUUUGCUUGGUGUUGGGCGUUUUUGUCUUUGGUCGCCCAAAGACUCGCCUUAAAGUGAUUGGCAGCCGGCCUUUCUGGUUUCGCAGCGCAGCACAUUUUUGCGCUUGCCAUCAGCAAAACGGCAAUCCAUCAAGCCUCCUUCUCACGUUUGACCUCGGAUCAGGUAGGGAUACCCGCUGAACUUAAGCAUAU
rnacentral:rRNA from 1 species